AAAUAGAAUAUCGAUGGUUAUGCUUGGGAUGCCUGUGGUAAGUUAAAUCAGUACUGUUGACCAGCGGAGAUGUCCAUGGGGAGGUGAAAUAAGAUUCGAAUGUGGAUCAAGAUAUUCCUUCAAAAAUGGUUAAACUAAACGUGUCGAUGUUGAGGUAUCUUUCCAGAGAUCACUUUAGGGUUUUAACAGCAGUUGAGAUGGGUAUGAAGAACCAUGAGCUAGUCCCUGCUUCACUUGUUGCAUCUAUAGCUGCCCUCAAGCAUGGUGGCUGUUACAAAAUCCUCAGAGAACUUGUGAAGCACAAACUGAUAGCUUAUGACAAUGGAAAAGCUGUUGGAUACAAAUUGACCUAUGGUGGGUAUGAUUACCUUGCUCUAAAGGCGCUGUCCGCUCAUGAUAUUAUACAUUCAGUUGGAAAUCAAAUUGGCAUGGGAAAAGAGUCAGAUAUUUAUAUUGUCGCAAAUGAAGAAGGACAGCAAUUUGCUCUCAAGCUGCACAGGUUAGGAAGAACAUCAUUUAGAAAACUCAAAGAAAAAAGAGACUACCUGAAGAAACGACAAAAUUCCUCUUGGUUAUACCUUUCUCGUCUGGCAGCCAUGAAAGAGUAUGCUUACUUAAAGGUGCUGCAUGAUAAUCAGUACCCCGUGCCAAAACCAGUUGAUUACAACAGACAUGCUGUGGUGAUGCAACUUGUUGAUGGCUACCCUUUAUGUCAAGUUCGUGAGUUAGAAAACCCUGGUGCAGUAUUCAGUGAUAUGAUGGAUCUGAUUGUCCGUCUUGCUGGCUUUGGCUUAAUUCAUUGUGAUUUUAAUGAAUUCAAUUUAAUAUUAAAUGGCAAAGAUCAGGUGACCGUUAUUGAUUUCCCACAGAUGGUUUCAACAUCACAUCUCAAUGCUCAAUGGUACUUUGACCGAGACGUUCAGUGCAUACGAGACUUUUUCUUGCGGCGAUUUAAUUUUGAGGGUGAAGCCUACCCAAAGUUUUCAGAUAUAGUGCGUUCCCAAAAUCUAGAUGUUGAAAUAGCAGCCAGUGGUUUUACGAAGGAAAUGGACAAGACAUUUGAAGAGGAAGCUGCAGCAGCACUUGGAACAAUGCGCAAAGAACAAGAACAUCUGGAAGAAAGCCCAAUGGAAGAAGUUGUUGAUGAUGAUGAUGUUGAUGAUGAUGAUGAUUUAGAAUUGAAACCAGAAUCAGAAACCAGUUGUAGGGAUCAUUUAUCACCUUGUGAAGAUGAGAAAAAGACUAGUGGAACAACAGAAGAAAGAGUAGCAACUACAACACCUAACACGACCACACUAGAAGCAACAACACAAGCAACAGAAGAUGGCAAUCAAGAUCAAAGCGACGAAUCUGACCUUGAGGACUUGAGUAACAUUAACCGAACUCAUAGACCAUACCGUGAUGUCAAUGAUGAUGUAAUGGAUCAUGAUGGCACUGAUGAUGUCACAACAGAGACACCUGUACUGUCUACUAUUGACUCUGUUGAAGUGAGAAAAAGAGUUAAAAAGAGUCUGAUGAAGAAACAGCAAAUGGCUAGACGAAGGAAAAAAGGGGAGGAAGGAGCUAUGACAAGAAGUAGAAGAGAGAAAAGAGAUGAUGUGAAGCAAAGUGUGCAUGCAUAUAACAGUGGAUGGUAGUGGUAUGUUACCUGCAUGACACGGAGGGAGGAAGGAGCUAUGACAAGAAGUAGAAGAGAGAAAAGAGAUGAUGUGAAGCAAAGUGUACAUGCAUAUAACAGUGAAUGGGAAAUGCUUAAGACAAAAGGGCUUACCCUCUCAACCAAUAAUCGUGCACCCUUAAGUCAGAGCAAACCUGAAGUCUUGGCAGAAUUAAGGAGAGAGAAAAAGAGAUUUAAGGAUUGUAUCAUACAAUAUGAAUAUAAAAAUCUUUUAUAUAUC
rnacentral:misc_RNA from 1 species